GCCCUUAUAUCCUCCCUGCAUGACCCGUCUCUUCUUAAUUCGUUCGCAGUAGAAUUUCGAUCUCAUCUUUUUUGGGGGCGUUUUCCGGCCGGCCGUCUUUCUACACCUACAUUCAUGGCGCAGCGCGCGGCAUCGUCAGGAGCAGGAAUCUACCGGACGGAGGAUCCGUAGUUCCCUCCAAGGUGUUUCUGACCAGAUCUAUUUAUUACUAGUACCACUACUCAGUUCUUCCCCUACCGUACUCUGUCUCUUCUUUCCUUUCCAGGCUUACUGUUAGGCUCGAGAGCCGAUCCACAAACGGCGCCGCGUGUGUCAGGGAUAAGAUGAGCUCAGCAAGAGGCAGAGUGGAGGAGGAGGUGAGGAAAGAGCAAGGAAAGGCACAAUACGGUGGCACGGUCGGCAGAUCUAUCCCGGCCUGCCGCCGUUUCCGCACUACCAUGCAUGUCAUCAGGAUUGUGUCUCCAUCGGU
rnacentral:precursor_RNA from 1 species